rnacentral:rRNA from 1 species
GUCUACAGCCAUACCAUCCUGAACGCGCCCGAUCUCGUCUGAUCUCGGAAGAAUACAGCUGGAGGUAUCACAAUCCCAGAUUUCAAGAUAUACUCCCAAAGUGUUAGUA